rnacentral:rRNA from 1 species
CCAGACUCCUACGGGAGGCAGCAGUGGGGGAUAUUGCACAAUGGGGGGAACCCUGAUGCAGCGACGCCGCGUGAACGAAGAAAUAUUUCGGUAUGUAAAGUUCUAUCAGCAGGGAAGAAAAUGACAGUACCUGACCAAGAAGCCCCGGCUAACUACGUGCCAGCAGCCGCGGUAAUACGUAGGGGGCGAGCGUUAUCCGGAUUCACUGGGCGUAAAGGGAGCGCAGGCGGCACGGCAAGUCCGGUGUGAAAGCCCGGGGCCCAACCCCGGGACUGCUUUUGAAACUGUCAGGCUGGAGUACAGGAGAGGUAAGCGGAAUUCCUAGUGUAGCGGUGAAAUGCGUAGAUAUUAGGAGGAACACCAGUGGCGAAGGCGGCUUACUGGACUGUAACUGACACUGAGGCACGAAAGCGUGGGGAGCAAACAGGAUUAGAUACCCCAGUA